rnacentral:rRNA from 1 species
UACGUAGGUGGCAAGCGUUGUCCGGAAUUAUUGGGCGUAAAGAGCUUGUAGGCGGUUUGUCGCGUCUGCUGUGAAAUUUCGGGGCUCAACCCCGAACUUGCAGUGGGUACGGGGCAGACUAGAGUGUGGUAGGGGAGACUGGAAUUCCUGGUGUAGCGGUGAAAUGCGUAGAUAUCAGGAGGAACACCGGUGGCGAAGGCGGGUCUCUGGGCAGUAACUGACGCUGAGGAGCGAAAGCGUGGGGAGCGAACAGG